GUGUGGGUGUGUGUGCGUGUGUGUGUGUGUAAAUGAAUAAAAUAAGUACCUAUAUGUACACACGUAUGAGUGACUGCCAGAGAAUUCUGUUUGUGGAUACUGGACCUGAUUUCUGUCCUUGGGAUUGGGACUGGUAACCAAAAAUAGGUGUCCCAGUCCUAGGAAGAGAAAAGGCAGGGACCAGACUGGGAACCUCUAAAAGUGUCAAAACAGAAGCCUAGUUAUAAUAACUGAGGUAUCAACAGGGCUAAAAUGGCAGAAAGGGUAAGAAUAGGGCAGAGGAUGUAUCAGAACAAGCUAGGAUCCCUUGUCAUCUAAUCUGGGGUGUAAGGGUUAGGUGGAUUAGUGUUAAUAACGACUUGAUCUGGGGGCGCCUGGGUGGCUCAGUUGGUUAAACCUCAGACUUUGGCCCAGGUCAUGAUCUCUCAGUCUGGGAGUUCGAACGCUGCGUUGGGUUCUUUGUUGACAGGUUAGAGCCUGGAACCUGCUUCAGAUUCUGUGUCUCUCUCUCUGCCCCUCAUGCUCAUGCUCUAUUUCUCAAAAAUAAAUUAAAAAAAUAAAUUAAAAAGUAACAACUUGAUCUGGAAUUGAAGAUUGGGGCUAAAACUGCUGUCAUGAGUCUGUGUUGGUGACCUAGGAUUUAAGUAACAGGAGAAGCAGGCUGGGCUUGACUUUUUUUUUUUUUUUUAACGUUUUAUUUAUUUUGAGAGAGAGAGAGAAUGUGAGAGCA